GCAGACUGGAGGUGUCGUAGGGCAGCAGCGGCCCGCGCUGGAUCAACUCCACCGGGCCCUCGACUGUCAGCUCCGGCUCCGAGGACGGCACGCGCCGCCGGGAGAUCUUGGCUUUCACAGCUGCAGGGAGAAAAGAGGGAAACUCCAAACCACAUCAGAAUCCUUCAGUCUGCUGAACUGAUAUGAAUAUGAAUAUCUGCUUACUGAAGUCAUUGAGGCAGAGGGCGUCCAGCACGGUUUUGAGAGACGGCGCUUCCUCCACAGACGGGCAGCUUUGACACACAGGCUGAGGGAAUUCUGCAGACAGGAAUAUACGGUCAACUCAAUGCAUUUACAGGCACAUUUCUGCAUUUGUCAGAUGCGGUCAGUGAGUGUUUGAGGUCUGACCUUUGGAGAAGGCGCUGAUGUGUUUGGGCAGCGGCGUCAGGCACGUGUCGUCCUGCGCUGGGAAGCGGUCGCAGUUCAGGGCUUCGGGCCAAGAGUGUCCGUGACAGGCCAACACGGGAGCGCAGCUCUCCUUCACGGCCACACACACGCUACGACAGGGCUGGAUGAACCUGCAGACGUGAUCACAUACGGAUGAAGAGCGUCUGCACGUACCUGUCCAGGCAGACGGGAGCGACGAGCGAGCAGACGAAGGCCCGGGCCUGCGGGUGGCAGCCGGUGUGGAGCAGCGUCCUCCAGUCGUCCGAGCGAGGAACCGCUUCCUCCAGACUGCUGUGACCCAGCAGGUUGGGUAACCUCAUCUCCGAGUACGGCACGUCCUGGCAGACGCUCAUCUGGUGAGGGACGGGGACGCAGCGUGUGGUCUGGCCCAGGUCGAAGGCCCCGGCGUGGGAGAAGAGAGAGAAGAGGAGCAGCAGGCAGGAGAGAUCCAUGAUGGGUUUCUGCACUGAGGUGUAAAGUUUCCAGACUAACAGACUGUCCUGAAGCCCCGAGCCACAUGUUUGACGACAGUCUGAUCUGACCAAAGUCUGUCUGGAAGACAAAACACAUGAGAUGAGAAAUCAGUCUGGAAUCAUUUUAUGACAAGAAAGCGCACUGAAAUGAUUUUAAAACAGACAGACUAAAGUCCAUCUAAAGUCUGUGGCUCUGUUCCCGUCGGCCCCAGCCUUCUGAGCCACUUUACUGCCCUGGACAGACGGCAGCUACUAAGGGACCUAACUGGGCAAUUAGAGACACAUACCCAUUUAGGAGAACAAUGGGGUCCAUGCGUCAGGUUAAGCACCCCUCUCGCCGCUGAUUACCCCCCGGGUGCGUGUUAUUCUUUCUAACGGCCCUCCUGCCCCUCUCCGGCCUGCUGUUUGGAUUGUUAAUGGGACUCGUUCAGUCAGUCGGCGUUUGAGCUGAAGACAGUGUCUACUUGAUGCACCGGGACUAUAAAUGAAGAACUAGUGCUGUGUUGAAAGAAAACAUAGUGUGUAGUAUGCAAGUAGUGUGCUGCAAUGUUGCAACAUGACCACAAUUCAUGUUAAAAAUGUCUUAUUGUCCGUCUGAUUACAUAAUGAUUUAGGAAUUAUGUUGAGUGCAUUAAGAAUUCUGUGCAGUGCAGUGUUAUUUUUGUAUUAUAGUAUUAAUAUUUUGAAUCAGCUUUUUAUUUUUAUGGUUUUCGUUUUAAUUUUAGCUUAAGUUUUUAGUAAUUUUGCUAUGUGCUUUUGUCAUUUUUAUUCUUUUGCAAGAUUUUUUUAUUUUA